CCUACGGGAGGCAGCAGUGGGGAAUAUUGGGCAAUGGGCGAAAGCCUGACCCAGCAACGCCGCGUGAAGGAAGAAGGCUUUCGGGUUGUAAACUUCUUUUGACAGGGAAGAGCAGAAGACGGUACCUGUCGAAUAACCCACGGCUAACUACGUGCCAGCGGACGAGGUAAUACGUAGGUAGCAAGCGUUAUCCGGAUUUACUGGGUGUAAAGGGAUCGCAGGCGGCGCGUUAAGCCUGGUGUGAAAGUCCGCGGCCCAACCGCGGGACUGCAUUGGGUACUGGCGCGCUGGAGUGCCGGAGAGGGAGGUAGAAUUCCUAGUGUAGCGGUGAAAUGCGUAGAGAUUAGGAGGAAUACCAGUGGCGAAGGCGGCCGACUGGACGGUGACUGACGCUGAGGUGCGAAAGCGUGGGGAGCAAACAGGAUUAGAUACCCCAGUAGUC
rnacentral:rRNA from 1 species